rnacentral:lncRNA from 1 species
CCCUUUUCUCUUCCUUUCUGAAUCCUUUUCUCUUAUCGAGCUCUUCACCUGCCAUCCCUAAAUGUUGCUUUUUGCUUUAUAGCAAUGUAGUUACCAAACAUACUUUUUGCUUUGUUGCUUUUACUUAAUAGCAAAAAUCAAAAAUAUAUAUAUAUAUUUUUAAAAAAUCAAAAAUUAAAAAGUGUAACCAAACACACCCUUAGUUACAUAUGCC